GACGGAGGAUGCAAGUGUUAUCCGGAAUCACUGGGCGUAAAGCGUCUGUAGGUUGUUUAAAAAGUCUGCAGUUAAAGGUUGAAGCUUAACUUCAAAAAUGCCGUAGAAACUUUUAAACUAGAGGAUGGUAGGGGUAGAGGGAAUUUCCAGUGGAGCGGUGAAAUGCGUAGGAGAUCGGAAAGAACACCAACGGCGAAAGCACUCUGCUGGGCCGACACUGACACUGAGAGACGAAAGCUAGGGGAGCGAAUGGG
rnacentral:rRNA from 1 species